AUUGCAAAUUGCCAGAUUUCAAUGUCAAUGGCGGCCAAAAGAGAAAUCAGACAACGUUGUCAUAUAGCGGCCAUAGCAACAGUCAAAUCAUUUGGUGGAAAAUAUCAGAGCACAACAUAUAGGCACAAAAAUCGAAAUUUUGUUGUUUUAAAGAAUAUUUAAUUUUUGUAAUAGCUGCAAUAUACAUAAAUGUAUGCUUUCUGAAGCUAA